UACAGAGGUCCCGAGCGUUGUUCGGAUUCACUGGGCGUAAAGGGUGCGUAGGCGGCUUGUCGCGUCGGAUGUGAAAGCCCGGGGCUUAACCCCGGGUCUGCAUUCGAUACGGGCAGGCUAGAGUUCGGUAGGGGAGAUCGGAAUUCCAGGUGUAGCGGUGAAAUGCGUAGAUAUCUGGAGGAAUACCGGUGGCGAAGGCGGCAUCCUGGACCGGCAUUGACGCUGAUGAGCGAAAGCUAGGGGAGCAAACGGG
rnacentral:rRNA from 1 species